rnacentral:snoRNA from 1 species
AUUCCAUGAUGAGGACACCUUCGUAGCAUAUCCUUGUAUCUCUCUCAAGCUUCAUACAGAGUCUCUAUGUCAUGUUGAGCGAAGUGAGAAAGUAUUUCAUCAGAAAUU